AACGAACGCUGGCGGCAGGCUUAACACAUGCAAGUCGAGCGCCUCGCAAGGGGAGCGGCAGACGGGUGAGUAACGCGUGGGAACGUACCCUUCUCUACGGAAUAACACAGAGAAAUUUGUGCUAAUACCGUAUACGCCCUUCGGGGAAAGAUUUAUCGGGGAAGGAUCGGCCCGCGUCGGAUUAGGUAGUUGGUGGGGUAAUGGCCUACCAAGCCUACGAUCCGUAGCUGGUCUGAGAGGAUGAUCAGCCACACUGGGACUGAGACACGGCCCAGACUCCUACGGGAGGCAGCAGUGGGGAAUAUUGGACAAUGGGGGCAACCCUGAUCCAGCCAUGCCGCGUGAGUGAUGAAGGCCUUAGGGUUGUAAAGCUCUUUCACCCACGACGAUAAUGACGGUAGUGGGAGAAGAAGCCCGGCUAACUUCGUG
rnacentral:rRNA from 1 species